rnacentral:snRNA from 1 species
AUACUUACCUGGCAGGGGAGAUACCAUGAUCACGAAGGUGGUUUUCCCAGGGCGAGGCUUAUCCAUUGCACUCCGGAUGUGCUGACCCCUGCGAUUUCCCCAAAUGUGGGAAACUCGACUGCAUAAUUUUGUGGUAGUGGGGGACUGCGUUCGUGAAAAAUUUUA